AACGAACGCUGGCGGCAGGCCUAACACAUGCAAGUCGAACGCCGUAGCAAUACGGAGUGGCAGACGGGUGAGUAACACGUGGGAACGUACCCUUCGGUUCGGAAUAACUCAGGGAAACUUGAGCUAAUACCGGAUACGUCCGAGAGGAGAAAGAUUUAUCGCCGAAGGAUCGGCCCGCGUCUGAUUAGCUUGUUGGUGAGGUAACGGCUCACCAAGCCGACGAUCAGUAGCUGGUCUGAGAGGAUGAUCAGCCACAUUGGGACUGAGACGCGGCCCAAACUCCUACGGGAGGCAGCAGUGGGGAAUAUUGGACAAUGGGGGCAACCCUGAUCCAGCCAUGCCGCGUGAGUGAUGAAGGCCUUAGGGUUGUAAAGCUCUUUUACCUGGGAAGAUAAUGACGGUACCAGGAGAAUAAGCCCCGGCUAACUUCGUGCCAGCCGCCGCAGUAA
rnacentral:rRNA from 1 species